rnacentral:lncRNA from 1 species
UAUUGUUAUGUCAUCUCAGACAGCCACUCCGCAGGGGCUCGAGGCCCUGCCAGUCCCAAGCCUCUGCCAUUUACCUCUACUGAUUUUACUGCCAAGUUCAGCGCUCUGAAAAGAGAAUAACCAGCCAUGAGCAACAUGUUCUUUUUCUGCAGACUGACAGGGCUGCGCUUUAAUCUCCUCUUGUGUCUCAUAACAGAAGCUUUUAUAACGGUUUUUGCUGACUGUCAGACUAUUCUAAGCCACCGCUCACUAUCCAGUGAGGGGGAGAAGACUUUAGAAUUAUUUACAUUUAGUUGACAAGAAGGAUGUUGAAAAUGAAACGUACAUAUGAUUCUGUGGUGCAGCUGUUGUCUUGUUCAGGUUCAGGAAGCUCAUUCAGAAGUAUUGCAACGUCCCCAUGUGGCAGCUUGUCUGUUGCCAAGCAUCGUCAAUCAAAUCCAAGACCCCUCCAUCUCUCUGGACCUCACUGUCCAUUCUCCUGAAGCUUUAAUCUUGUUCAAUUGGUGCCAGAUCCAGUGUUGCACUCUGCUCUUGAAUUUUAAUCUUCAAACAAAGUGAACAUAAAUAAAACCAAGACAAAUGACA